rnacentral:rRNA from 1 species
CUAAGUAUAAAUAAGUCUAUACUGUGAAACUGCGAAUGGCUCAUUAAACCAGUUAUAGUUUAUUUGAUAGUACCUUACUACUUGGAUAACCGUGGUAAUUCUAGAGCUAAUACAUGCACAAAAACCCGACUUCUGGAAGGGUUGUAUUUAUUAGAUACAAAACCAACCUGGGCAACCAGUUCAUUGGUGAUUCAUAGUAACUUUUCUAAUCGCACGGCCUUGCGCUGGCGAUGUUUCAUUCAAAUUUCUGACCUAUCAGCUAUCGUCGGUAGGGUAUUGGCCUACCGUGGCAAUGACGGGUAACGGAGAAUUAGGGUUCGAUUCCGGAGAGGGAGCCUGAGAAACGGCUACCACAUCUAAGGAAGGCAGCAGGCGCGCAAAUUACCCAAUCCUGACAUAGGGAGGUAGUGACAAGAAAUACCAAUACGGGGCAUCCAUGUCUCGUAAUUGGAAUGAGUAAACUUUAAAUCACUUUACGAGUAUCAAUUGGAGGGCAAGUCUGGUGCCAGCAGCCGCGGUAAUUCCAGCUCCAAUAGCGUAUAUUAAAGUUGUUGCGGUUAAAAAGCUCGUAGUUGGAUUUCUGUUGGGAACGACCGGUCCGCCCACUGGGUGUGCAUCUGGCUUGUUCU